GUCGGGGGAUGAAAAAUCAUGAAACCUGAGUCGAUAUCUUUAGCUUAAGUAUAACACAUAGACUCCAACCGAACACCAAACUGGAAACAUCAACAUCAUUGCAUUGCUGAACCAACGAGUCGUAGCCCCUCAAAUUGCUAAGAACUCGACGCACACCACCAGGCCCGGCUGUAAUUUUAGUAAUCAAUCUAGUGGACGACUAAAUAAACAGAAAAUACAUAAUGUUGGAGUAAAUAGUGUGUUCCCAAUGACCAACCCCAUGUGCAUAUCAAUAUUGCUACCUAGCGGCAAACUUCAUUAACCAGGAACACGCACUGACUGUCUGCCCCCUGCUAUGACGUUAGAGGAAUUUUAAGAGGAAGUAAGUCACCUGGAUGAUCCCGUUUUUUCAUUCCAUCUGACGAUGAUUCAGUUAACUAUAACGAAAUUAGCGAGGCAGAGGAGAAAAAUAAUACAGAAAAGGCAGAUACUGACAUAAUUUUUUCGGGAGACUUUGAUUCUGUGAGUGAUUCUCCCCUUUCAGAAGUAACACUGGAAAUUCAAAUACGCAACAAUAUAACUCCACAGUUUGAUGCUGAGCGUUAUUAUGCUGAACCUACAUGGAAUAAUGCUAAUGUAAAUAAGCAACCUCAAAAUUUAAAAAUAAUUUUUCAAAUACCUCAAUUUGUAAAUAAUGUGAAUAAAAAAGCAGCAGCGUACAUUUUCAGACUGUUUCUAAUAGAUCGAUUAGUAGAUCAGCCAACUUAUAUGCCCAAAAGAAUUUAAAAUCAGGAAUGAGUUUGUUUCAACUACAAAACAAGUAGAAACUUUUAUUUUAAUUAACUACUGAUGUUCAUCAGCAGACUUAAAUGAUUUCUACAUAAGUAGCAAAAUGUCUUUGAGUAGAUUCAGUUGGUUCCUGGCGAACAUCCAUUGGAACGACAAUAGCAAUAUUCUUUCAAGGAGUCAUGCAAAUUAGAAUAAAUUGCAUAAAUUGGGGCCAUUCGUUGAGAAAAAAUUCCUAAUAAGUUUUAAAAACAACUUUAAUCUUUCGACGUGUAUUGCUACUGAUGAGACAAUGGUUAAAUUUAAAGGCAGGAAAGUUUAAAGUAAUAAAAAACCUAUAAAGAAGAGGCUGCAAAAUCUAGAUUCUUGCUGAUCAAUCAAAAUAUGGUUAGAACAUUCAAUUUUAUACAGGAAAAGUUGAAGGAUCUCUGGCUUCAAGAGUAGUUAUGGAUCUUAGAUGUAUUGGAUUUGUCAGGAUUUAUGUAAUAAAAAUCAUCGUUUAUAUAUAGGCGUGCCGCUUUUUGAAGACUUACUUACAAACAAAAUUUAUGCUUGUGGAAACAUAAACAUAAGUCGUCGAUUUAUACCAAAAUUUGUAAGUGAUAAACAAAUAAAGAGGGGAGAAUAUAAAGAACUUAUCAGUGACUCCAAUUUAGUGGCAGUUAAGUGGAAAGAUAAUUGGGGUGUACAUUUAUUAUCGAACAUCCAACAACCCCACGAUGCAGUACACAAUAAACACAGACAAAGAGAUCACAGGUUUUAUACAUUUUUAGAAGGAAAUCCACAAUUAAGUUUAAGAGCUACAAGUCCAAUGAAGACGGUUGGGUUUCAUCAACCUCAAGUUAAACUAUUUUUCGAUAAAUCAGAAGUAUCGAUGAACAAAUGUUCGUUUUCACACUCAAAUUGGCUGGCAUUUCUUGCGUUCAUAAAAACCCCAAGGUUUUAUUAUCGAUAAAAGGAAAACACCAAGUAGGUAAAUUGGCAUGUGGUGAAAGAGGCGAAAACAUUUUACUGUUCGGUAUGAAUACAAUAGGACAAUUUUUCCUCCAUUAUUCAUUUUUCCACGUCAACGCAUGAUGAUUGCAUGAUUACGAGACUACAGUUGGAUGGAUGCACAGCGCAUGAAACGUCAAGUAAAAUUUACAAAUCCCACUGAGGAAAAUCCUAUUCUUCUCAUCCAUAUGUUAAGCACACCACACACAAGCGGAAUAAUCCCGGAAUACGAGGACUUGUAUGAUAUUACUUCCAUUGUCUCCGAAGCAUACGCCAAGGUCUACAGGUUAGAUGUAGCACAAAAUCAACUUUAAUGCACGGGAAUUUUUCCAUACAAUGCUAAUAUUUUUACUAAACUGAAUGCUCUUCCCUCUUUGAUGACAAAUAUUCCUAAAGUUAAUUUGUCAAUUGAGCCUGACUUCACAACGUUACCAGAAGUAAGAUCUUCCAUUCAGAAUGUAAAUGUUGUAAAACCUAAUAGAUUUAUGGCCAGUUUACGAUCAACAAGUAGCAUAUGCAAUUCUUCAAAAGUCAAUAUCCUUCUGUUGUUAUCAGGCCUUCAACUAGCAUUAUCACAAAAUUACACAAAACACAGAAACAAAAAACAGUCGCACCAUAAACUUUAUUCUUCAACAAUCGUUCCAGUUACAGUUCGUUACAGUUCCAGACACAACCAACCGACGUCUUUAAUCACGUAAAAUAAAUUCAGGGACCAACCUUAGGUUAACGUCAACCCCCUACAAAGACAAUCUUGAAACCUAACCUAACCUAACCCUCUACAAGGACAAUCUUGAAAAGAAAAAGAUCAUAGAAAGUUAGAAAGUCUUCAAAAG